GCCGGGUGCGGUGGCGCGCGCCUGUAAUCCAAGUUACCGGGAGGCUGAGGCUGGAGGAUCGUUUGAGCUCAGGAGCUCUGAGCUGCAGCGGACUAUGCCGAUCGGGUGUCCGCGCUAAGUUCGGUAUCGAUAUGGUGCUCCUGGGGGAGCCCGGGACCACCAGGUCGUCUAAGGAGGGGUGCACCGGCCCAGGUCGGAGACGGAGCAGGUCAAAGCCCCCGUGCCGCUCAGUAGUGGGAUCGCGCCUGUGAAUAGACGCUGUAGUGCAGCCUGAGUAAUACAGCGGGACCCAGUCUUUU
ensembl:misc_RNA Metazoa_SRP Metazoan signal recognition particle RNA